UACGGAGGGUGCAAACGUUGCUCGGAAUUAUUGGGCGUAAAGCGCACGUAGGCGGAUUGUUAAGUCAGGGGUGAAAUCCUGGAGCUCAACUCCAGAACUGCCUUUGAUACUGGCGAUCUCGAGUUCGGGAGAGGUGAGUGGAACUGCGAGUGUAGAGGUGAAAUUCGUAGAUAUUCGCAAGAACACCAGUGGCGAAGGCGGCUCACUGGCCCGAUACUGACGCUGAGGUGCGAAAGCGUGGGGAGCAACAGG
rnacentral:rRNA from 1 species